rnacentral:lncRNA from 1 species
UCUAAUAUAACAUAUAAAUUUGCAAAAUAUUUAUUUUAAAUUUUUGAAUAAAUAUGAUUUGUAAUUUUUUAUUGAUUUAAAAUAUAUUAAAAUAAUUGUUACGUACAUUUGUACGUACACUCAAAUUUAUUUAGUGCAAAUGCACGUAACAAUUAUUUAAUUUAUUUUAAAUCAAUAAAAAUUUGCAAAUCGUAUUUAUUAAAAAAUUUAAAAUAAAAUAUUUUAUAAAUUUAUAUGUUAUAUUUUAUUAGAAAAUAUCUACAAUAUCAAAUUUAAAUUUUAAUAUAAAAUAUAUGGAUAGAUUUGAUAUCAAAAAUAAAAAAUUUAAUUUAAUUCACGAUUUAAACUCAAAUUUAAAUUUAAUGUAAAAUAAAUGGAUAGAAGUGCUUUUUUUAACAGAUUGAUCAUAACCGUUCAUUUUUAUUUUAAUAUUUUUAACCAAUUGAACAUACUUGUUCGUAAAAUUGAAAUUAUAGAUAAGUAUAAAUAUUUUUUUUUAACAAAUUAGUCAUAAUCGUUCGUUCUUAUUUGAGAUAAUUUUUUACAAAUUGAUCAUAAUUGUACAUCAUAUUAAUUCAAAAAUAUGAUUUACAAAUUUAUCAACCAAUCUAUCUUUUAAAUUAUUUUCAUUGUAAUAUAUUGAUAGUUCCAAAAUUUUAAAUUUUAAAUUAAUUUUAAAAUUUGAAUUGAAAUAUAAAUUUACAGUAGAUAUUCUGGCAAAAAUUUGGAUAAGCAUGAUUUUUGUUUUUCCAUUUUAGAGAUAAAAAAAUUAAAUAAAAUUUUAAUUAAAAUAUAGAUUCACAGUAAAUAUCUUUCGGUUGGCAAAAAUUUGGAUAACUAUAUUUUUUUUCUAUUUUAGAGAUAAACAGAAAUUAAAAGUUUGUUUCAUUACAUUAUUUAUUUUACGUAAGGAAAGAGGAAACAAUAUUUUUUUCCCGCCAAAAAAUGGAUCUGUCGACAGACCCAAAUUUGAAAUACGUGCUUUGAUAUAUAUACUAGUUGAAUGUACGUACAAAUGCACGUAACAAUUAUUAUAAUUUAUUUCAAAUCAAUAUAAAUUUGUACAUUAUAUAUAUCCAAAAUUUUACAAUAAAAAUUAUAUUUAUAAAUUAAUGUGUUAUAUUUUAUUAGAAAAUAUUUAUAAUAUCCUACCGUGUUCUUUUAUUUAUAUACAUCGAACAUUUUUAUAUACUUUUUGAUUUUUGAUGAAUCAAAUUUAAAUAUGUGUUUUAAACUAAAAGC